ensembl:lncRNA
AUAAGCCAUGCCUGUUGCAGCUGAUGUAACUGUGGGGGACCUGCCUGUGAGACAUAUAGGUCUAAGUCCAGCUGGAAUUGAAGGAUUACAAGAAUCAUCAACUGCACAGGAUAUAAAAGCUCAACAAGCUUAAGUAACAAGUCAGUCAAGAACUGGAGGACAGAUUUCUUCAUAUGCAUGAUGAUCACAUCUUACUCAAGCAGCAUACAAAUGAGCAAGAGGAGAAAACUAAAAGCCUUCCUCGCCAUAACCCUUUUAACUAGAAGUUUGGAAUGAAUUUGCAGUGGAAGAACGUUGAAAAAGCUCCACGUAAACAAAAAACCUGCUUACAGAGCCUAAAGAACGUAAAGAACAACCAUGAUGCUUCAUUAGCAAAAGACGAUGAACUGAAUGAACAGCUUGAAGAGGAAAGAAUAAACAGUCCAGAAAAGGAGAAUGAACUCUUGAAGAAAAGCUAUGAUAAACUGUGUAAGUGCUCAGUGAUACCCCAGAUGAGCAGGAACUUGAAUGUGAAGAUACUGAUUUUGCCGAAUCUGUUUGAAAAAAGAAGCAAAGAAAUGCCACUGAACAAGACAUUGAUGUUUUUGAUUCACAAGAUGAUAGUGCAGUAAUUGGAAAGCUCAAAGGAACAGUGGAAGCCCUCCAUGCGCUGCCCUCAGUUGAGAGGGGAAUGCAAAGAUGACUACGAGGCAUGAAAGGAAGUUUGCCUACAGAAGAUCCUUCUCCCAGUGUAAAUACAUGGUUGAUAGUGCAUCAAAGAUGAGAUCUUUGUAAUUCCUACAGUAUAUUUAAUGUAUAAUUUAUAUGAAAAGGACGCUUGAUUUGUAGUUGUAAAGUUUUGUAUACUUUUCAGUCUGUUUGUUUUUAUAUUUCCCCCCUAGGCUAAGAAUAUCUCCACAAUGGACAACGUCUUGUAAAUAAUUAAUACCUACAUGAUUUAGCAAUGUGCUUUAUUUGCAUUUUUAAGAUUUUUUCCUACAUAAAACAGUAAUAAAAAUGCAAGUCAAAAUUUUAAUUUUUAAUAAAAAGACCAUAAGCCUUAGAAAACUGAUUAAAAAUACUUUUAUGUUAUCCCUAAUCACCCUGCUAAAUGGAAUGCCUGUGAUUAGCCUCAUUAAGAAUUUUAUACUGUGAAGAUUUUAUUAAAAGCAAUAUAUGAAAAUUACUUGGAUUAAUGUGUUAAUCUGCCUCUUUAAAAUGCUAAUAUCCAUUUUAUGCACAUUAAAUCUCAGUAUGUGUUUUCUUUGAUGCAUGCAGUUCCUAUCAAUUAAAUAUAAAAAAUUAGGCUAGUUGCAGGACUUAUUGAAUUACUGCAACCUUUUUUUAAAUAACUUUUACCCUUCUACUAACAUUAUAAUCAGCUGUUUAUGGUUACCAUAAUUUGAAGUAGGGGGAGGGCAGGCGCAAUCAUUUUCUGUACAGUAGAUGAUUUACUUGCAGCCAACAUCUGUCAAAGCACAAAAAGAAGCCAUGCAGUAUCAGAUUUUGCUUCACCUACUUUGGGCUUUAGGGAUGGACAACUGUUUUCAUUUGGGUUUUGUCACUUUUAGAACUUACAUCAAACAUAUACAAUAAAUUGUUGUAUCUGAAUAACUACUGUCUAGUGUGGAAAGUUAAUUUUACAGCUUUUAACCAAUCUCAGUGAAGGAUCUAAUUGAUAUUUUUAAUGGAGCUGUGAAUCAAUGCUGCAAAAGGAUUGUCUCGUGAGAACGAGGAUAUAAUACAUUUCAUUUUUUAAUUUACUUUUUUUUAUUUGUCAUUUUCUUCAAAGGAUUUUAUAGACUGUGGAUUUCCACUGUUUGCAAACAGGCUAUGUUUCUUCAUAAGCAUAUGUAAAGUAUUCAGAGAGAUAAGUAAUUUAUUAAAAUCUACCUAAUUUGCCGUGAUAUAUUAAAUCUCUGCUUCAGUGAUCACAGACCAUUUCAUUUAGAGAAUUAGGCAUUCCCUCUUUGUGUGAUUAAAGCUCUGGAAAAUGAGUUCUUUGCUCCUAUUUGUGAACAUUCAAAGCCUGCUAAUGGCAAGAAGAUGGAAUAGAUUAUGAGACAAUUCAUUACAGUUCAACAGAAAAAAAACGUGCUAUAAUGCAGAAAUGCAAGUAUGAAUAUCUGCAUAUAGUUUGAACCAUCUGUGCUCUAAUGGCUUCAGUAAUGGCUCUUCGUCUUCAGUAGGCUUUGAAAUGACAUCCAUACAAUAUUAAUUUGUUGAUGUACAUUAUGAGGCCAAUGGAAUGAAUAUAUUCUGACCACAGAAAUCUCUGAAUUCCAACAUGGUCUGCUGCUUGACUCCAUUUUAGGACCCACCAUCUUCAGUAGUACUUCUCAUCCAGACUUAGCCAAUCCUCACAGCAUUUCAUUCCUCUGGAACUUUAGGAGACCACAGACAGCUGCAUUCCUAAACCCCUCCAUUCUUCAGUUAAUGGCCAUAUGUUUGUUGUCAUUUGGGCUGGCACUUAGUUUGUCGUUUUGGCCACUAUUUCUAGCUUUUUUUGGCUCUGUGCAUCUAUAUUGUCAAUAAGACUGUUAUUAUACAUUACAAUAAUUUGAAACAGCCAGAUUCAACACUGAGAUUAACUGAGUGGCUUUUUAGAAAUUUAGUUGUGGUAUUCUGUCAGGAGGUUCUUAUUAUUCUUCUAAUACUUUGCAAACCAAACUAAAUAUCCUGCACAUAAACAAAGAAGUGAAUUGUAUUAAGUUUUUGUGUGUGACUCUUUACUGACUUGCAGGAGAACUAUGUUAACUGGUGCUUGUUUUCUUCUGAAAUAAACCAUGUGGUAAAAUUAGAAAAUCAGUGAUGUUCAUCUCACUUAAACAUUUACAGUAACACCCUUAACACUUAAUCUCCACCAUCUGAAGUUGGAAACUUAGAAACCAAGCGUUCAUAUAUUCAUUAAACACAGAUCUCUUCAGUAAGUUACUGCAAAAUAUUCCAGUUGACAUUUGGUUACAUUGUGUUAACUGUUCUCAGUGACUCCAACAUUAACAUGUAUAAUUUGCCUCAGGUUCCUAGACGUAUUUCUUGGUAAAGCUCACUGUUACUCAGUUUCUGAUUUUAAAAAAAUAAUCCCAAUUUCUAUUCAUGUUUAUUGCUAAAACAGAUAUAAUAUUCAGCAAGGAUUUUCCCAACAGAUGGAUUGUAUUAUCUUAUGCAACAUAAACAUGUGAUCAUACCAGAAAGUUUUGUUCUUGCAUUAAGUAGUCUGUAUUUCCAAAAUGCUCUUAAAUCUUAAUUCUAAAUGCUACAUUGUGCAGGGAAAGUGGAAAAUGUAACCCAGUACUAUUUUGUCUAGAUUUUAGCAAUGAAUAGCUUGAAGAAACCUUGCCUCUAUGUAAUCUCUAGGCUAAGAUGCAAAGGAACCAUAUUAAAGCUGGGUAUUACCAUGCUUUAAAAUUUUACAUACGAUUAACAUACACUUUUGUGGAAUAGAUGAAUUUUUACUAUGGCAUAACUUGGUCGCCACAAUGGUUCUACAUAAGAUGAAAUGACAGUGUCAAAUGAUCAGUUUAGUUAUUAUCUCUUUUCCCAUUUAUCAGUACAGUUUGUAGCUUUUUUAUGAUACCUUCUGGUGUGAUAUGAUAACUGUUGUUUUCCAGUUUCCCAGGAAUGUUGAUCGAGACAGAAAAAUUUUUAGCUCAAACUUUAUCUGUUGUAAAUGUUGCUUUUAACCUUUUAUAACGUUACCUAGGAACAGAAGUUAUAAGAGUAAAUACAUCAUGAACCAGGUAACAGCUCUGUGAAUCUUGCUGUAGAGUAAGUCAAAGCUUAUCUCAUUAUAUAAGAGUAGAUAUAACAUGACAAACUGUGGGACUUGUUUCGUAGAUCAAUAUUAAAGUUAAUAGUAAUAUUGCUUUAAAAUGCUUUUUAUUAUUUUAAGUCACAGUGAGACAUUGUCAUAGUUCAAGAAGUCUCCAAACAUAUCAAGACUAAAUAUUAGCUGCUAAAUUUAAUUUUGCUGUUUUGUGUUAGAACUGAGAAAUAAAUUGAAAUACAGGUUUAAAAAUGUGCAACAAACUGUAUUUCAUAUUUCAGAACCAAAGAAAUAUUAAGUGUUUUAAUUACAGACAGAUCUUUCUGCAGGUGUUAACAGUGACUUACCCAUCAGUUUUGUGAGAUAUUCCAAAAGAUAAUAAAUAUUUUUAUAUGACUUCACCUACAUUACUGUUUAUGUUAUAGCUCUUAGCAAUUGGACUAGAUCCCAAUCCUGCAACUGAUACUGAAUUGGAAGAAAUGUAUGAAAUUAAUUGCAGAAUAUGAAUUCAGGUUAGUACGUUAGUAUGCACAUGAUAAAAAUUUGCUUUUGGCACAGGAAGCGCCAUGUGCACUGCUUUUUGCUUUUUGUUUCUUUUUGGUAUUCAUGACCAAUUUUAAUUCUUUUUCCAUCUUUUAAAAUGGGACAACACAACUUCUGAGGAACUUGAAUCAUUCAUCUGCAGCUUUUAGAAGCAUUUUAAAAGUGUGUUGUUUUGUUUUUAAGGUCCUUGCUGAAUCACACUUCAAGCACUCAGCAUCUGGUAGCAUCAAAGUCUAACGCAGUCCUAGCAAGAUUUCAUCUCCAACAAGAGCUGCUUGUAAAUGAUCAGGUACCAGCUGAGGAUACUUUGUCUGUGGAAAUAAGCAAUUACAAACCUUUGGACAGAAAUGCUAAUGGGUCUCAGUGGUAGUAGUUCUGUCACAAUACUAUGUUAGGAUAGGACCAUUCAGGUUAGGGGAGCUCAGGUGGUCUCUAUUCCAGCCUCCUGCAGGGUUAGGGGUAUCCAGUGUGGGCUCAGGGAACAGUUUCUGUCUGUGUCCCCUUUCCUGAGCAGGUUUCAGGCCAGCCCAGAUACAGCCCUGAGCAAUGGGGUCUAACAUCAACAGCUGGCCAUUACUGGUGUCUAAAUACUUCUUACUUCAGUAGUCCAAUAUCUGCAGCUGUGCAAAACAGGUCCUGAGCGUGAUCUAGCAGUGAUUUGUUUGUGGAUUUGGAAAAUAAUCUAUUUCAUAGUUAGACAAAAUGUCAUUCUUGUUGGAUGUAAAAUUAUUUCCUACAUAUUCAAGCAGCAAGAACUGAAGGGUUCUUGAAGAGCCAUUGGAAAAAAAGGUCAAUUUUUUAACCUAUUACUACAACAACAAAAGAAAAAUUAAUAAAGUGAAGUUUCUUUUUCUUGAAAA